GCGUUGCAGCAGAGAAAGUGUGAGCUUCAGGUAAAAUUUCACGCGUAUAUAAUAUCCGUAAUGGACGGCUAUUUCAGUCCGGCGGAUUUACAGGCUCUCCAAAAUUUAAUUUGUCCAUCGAAGGACGACUCUGACAGCGAGGACGAUCUACCGCAGGCGGGUGCGAGGAAGUUGGGACCUGGUGACAUUGGCGCGCCGAGUGACCUUUCCCAGGACUCUUCCCAAAAUCGUUCGGGACCUCAUGUACCCCUACAAGGCAAGGGUGAUGAUAUUUGGCAUCCCUCAGAAGCGGUCGAUACUCAGAGUUUGCAGGAUUACGACCCUAGAAAGUCGCCCGAAUAUGAGAUAAAGUUUAAACAGGCAGUGACAGCUGAAGAUGUUUAUUUAGGAAUGGGCUUUAAAACACCGAGCACGGCGUCCUGCGAGUGGCUGUCGGUGCUGGUGAAAUUGCCCCAGGAAACGCGGGAAAAAGUGGAGCUCUCCGUGGAAUCCGAGGCGAUCGACGUGCGCAGUCCAAGAUAUCGGCUGCACCUACCGACACCACAUUCGGUGGAUCCCAACGCGUCCUCCGCCAAGUGGCACAGUGACACCUCCACCCUGGAGGUCACUCUGAAACUCACACGUGAGCUGGAUAACGUAAACUUUUGAUUUCGAAUCGAUACGUCGUCACUCUGGAUCGCCUAUCGAAACAGCUCAUGGCGUGCAACUAUCAGGGCGGGAUAGACUGGCGCGAUUGUGCUGUGAGACAAUCGUUCGGACGAUCGUACUUGACGAGGACUUCCUGGAUUUUGAUAGCAGGCACUCCAGGAUGUCGUGCGGAGGAUGCUAGGGAAUGCACUUGCAUCCUCAUUCAAGAGAACAGAAGUUGGAUUAUGGGUUGAUCUUUCAUUUCUACUUGAUCCUAAACUACUUCGUAAAUAAAAAAAGUUGUUCAAGUUAGCAUCAAGUGUGACACAGUCAGUGUCAAUCACAAUUAAUUAAUAAAUUAGAAGCAAAUGCUAUUCUUAU